rnacentral:sRNA from 1 species
AAGAAGAGGAAGAAGA